AUUGCCUCAGUACGGCGAGUGAAGCGGCAAAAGCUCAAAUUUGAAAUCCUUCGGGAGUUGUAAUUUGUAGGUUGGGAGACCCCGCGGCUAGUGGCACCAAGUCCCUUGGAACAGGGCGCCUUAGAGGGUGAGAGCCCCGUAGGUACCACAACACCGUCUUGUGUCUCCUCUCCAAAGAGUCGAGUUGUUUGGGAAUGCAGCUCAAAGUGGGUGGUAAAUUCCAUCUAAAGCUAAAUACCGGCGAGAGACCGAUAGCGAACAAGUACAGUGAUGGAAAGAUGAAAAGCACUUUGAAAAGAGAGUGAAACAGUACGUGAAAUUGUUGAAAGGGAAGGGCUUGCAAGCAGACACGGCCUUCGUGCCGGGCCAGCAUCGGUUGCUAGGGGUGGAUAAGGAACAAGGAAUGUAGCUCCUCGGAGUAUUAUAGCCUUGCGCGAUACACCCACUGGCGACCGAGGCCUGCGGUAUUCUUUACCUAGGAUGCUGGCGUAAUGGUUGCAAGCCGCCCGCUG
rnacentral:rRNA from 1 species